GGCUCGGUAGCUUAGUUGGUAAAGCGCUCGUCUAGCAUACAAGAGUCCUGGGUUCGAAUCCAAGCCGAGCAC
rnacentral:tRNA from 1 species